rnacentral:rRNA from 1 species
AUACCCAGCAAUGGGUGAUGGCGACCGGCGGAAGGGUGCGUAACGCGUGAGCAACAUACCCUAUACAGGGGGAUAAGCCAGGGAAACUUGGUCUAAUAUCCCAUAGGAAAUAGAUAAGGCAUCUUGUUUAUUUUAAAGCUUCGGUGGUAUAGGAUUGGCUCGCGUGACAUUAGCUAGAUGGAGGGGUAACGGCCCACCAUGGCAAUGAUGUCUAGGGGUUCUGAGAGGAAGAUCCCCCACACUGGGACUGAGACACGGCCCAGACUCCUACGGGAGGCAGCAGUGAGGAAUAUUGGACAAUGGAUGGAAAUCUGAUCCAGCCAUGCCGCGUGCAGGAAGACGGCCCUAUGGGUUGUAAACUGCUUUUAUACGGGAGCAAUAAGGUCUAUGCAUAGAUUGAUGAGAGUACCGUAUGAAUAAGCAUCGGCUAACUCCGUGCCAGCAGCCGCGGUAAUACGGAGGAUGCGAGCGUUAUCCGGAUUUAUUGGGUUUAAAGGGUGCGUAGGCGGCUUUGUAAGUCAGCGGUGAAAUUUUGCAGCUUAACUGUAAAAGCGCCGUUGAUACUGUGAAGCUAGGAUUUGGUUGCUGUGGGCGGAAUGUGUGGUGUAGCGGUGAAAUGCAUAGAGAUCACACAGAAUAUCGAUUGCGAAGGCAGCUCACAAAGCCAAUAUUGACGCUGAGGCACGAAAGUGUGGGGAUCAAACAGGAUUAG